GGAGGAGCAGCUCCAUGCAGGGAGCCCGACGCGGGACUCGAUCCCAGGACCCCAGGGUCGCCCUGGGCUGAAGGCAGAUGCUCAGCUGCUGAGCCCCCAAGUGCGCCCCCAUGCACAGGUGUCCAUGCACGGGUGUUGGAGGAGGGGAGCUCUGCACAGGCGCCGCCUCCUCUGCCACGUGCAUGUGGCUGCACACACAGGGAACUGGCUCUCACAAUUAUGGGGGACUGAGAAGUCCCAACAUCAGCAGUCAACAACAACCUGGAGAUGUAGCAGAGCUAAUGCUGUAAUUCAGUCUGAGUCUGAGUCUCAGGCCAGAGAAGACCAAGGACCCAGCUCAGAGACAAUCAGGCAGGAGGAAUCCCUUUUUACUCCGGGGAGAGUCCACCUUUUUGUUGUUUACAGACCUUGGAUGAAGCCUGUCCACGUUAGGGAAGGACAUAGUACAACUGGCCAGACUUGAGCUUUCCUGUUUAUGGCCGAGUCUCUGCUAUGCCUCCCUGAGAUUUCACUACAACUACUUUGAUCCCAUGAAGAGUCACACGUUUCCAGUUAAUAGACCAGCAGCUGAUCUUGUGUAUUAUAUAUAAGUUUGUGUGCUUAACCCAAUAGGACAAUUAUUUUUCUUUGGGUCUUAUGGUUUGUCCUGUUAUUCUUAUUUGUGAAGUCAGUGCUAUAUGAGCAACAAAAACCAG